CACAACAAAAUGAAAAUGUCGUAAGUUCCAUGAAUGCAUCUAAAGUGUGAUAGAAUAGAUAAUGCUUUGUUCAAUUGAAAAUAAAGAAACUAAAACCCAUGUGCGGUGGCUAAGAAACCAAAUGCUAUUAAAAAAAAAAAUAAAAAUAAAAAAAAUCCGUGAACCGUUCCAGCACCGUCCAGCUUCCAGCCCCCAGGUACUGCUUCCAUCAAUCAGCGCUCCUUGCAUGUGAAUAUCUGAGAGAAUGGGAGUGAAUUCCCUGCACACUUCUUCCAAAGUCAUCCAAAUUCCAUCACAUGUAUCAUCCUUCAAAGAAGAGAAUGCAAUGAGAAUUAAAUGCUCCAGCCGAGAGAGCCCACCCAAGAGUGACGGCUAUUGCCACACCAAUCCC
rnacentral:lncRNA from 1 species